GAAUUAACUGACUGUAAGUCGCUCUGGAUAAGAGCGUCUGCUAAAUGACAAAAA
rfam:Salmo salar isolate Sally breed double haploid chromosome ssa28, whole genome shotgun sequence.